AUCAUGUGAUUUCUUCCUGAAUAACAAGGCUCUGAGCUUGUUCUGCUUCUUGGGAGGAGUUGAGGGCUGUAAUGAAUUGUCAGGAGGAACUACGUCAACAACUAUGCAUGUUGUAUCAUCCUUUAGUCCCCGUGUCCUCAAUGCUUCCUUCACAACUUGUCUAGCAGCAAGUUCAGCUGGCAACCCACGGCAAGAUUUUGCUGCCAUUUCUGAGGAAAGGGCAUCCCAGAUGCCAUCAGAAGCAAUUACAAGCCUGCCACCUGCAUUUGAUAGCUUCACUUGCUUGACAUAUGGAAUUGGAACUAUAAACUCUCCAACAUCCAUGUCUCCAAUUGACCUAGAAAGGCAUAAGCCUCCUGGCCAACAACGGAGAGGACCAAUCUCAGCACCACCAACAAUGCUAAGCCUACCAACUUCUCCACCACUUGCAGUCACACGUUCCCUCUCUUCUAUAUUCUCUUCAAGUCUAUGAUCCACAGUUAAGGUGGAAAUGUCACCACCCUGAGGAUCUAAAAUACAACGUGAGUCUCCAACAGAUGCAACAGUAACUGUCCAUCCAUCAACUAUCACAAAUGUUGCUGUAGUCCCCGAUGUCUCUCCUCUGCUCUGAAACUCCUUAUCAGUCUUCACAAACCCAGCAACCAGUGCUCGAGGUAAAGCUUGAAGCCACUCCUCUCGCCCAAGCCCUCGAGGAAGAGCACCCAAAACAUGAUUCAACAGAUUCUCCCUAGUAAAUAUUGCUGCAGCGUUUCCAUUGUGCCCAUCAAAGAUCGCAAAAACAGAAAAUGUGGACGAGGAAUUCCCUGGCACUCUCUGACAGUCAGUCUUAAUCAGGAAAUAAUCUUCUCCUUUCCUAGACUGGGCUGCAUAACCAUAUCUCACAGUUGGCUUCUCCAUCGUCUCGUUCCUCAUUUCUCUGCUGAUUAAAGCAGCAAGAGGCACAAGAUUAUCACGGCGACGCCUCCCUUCUCCAGAAGCCAUUAACUACCACUCUGAUGUCUUAGCUUCCGGGUUCAAGACCUCCAAAUUACCAAGUUAUUUGCCCCAAAAGCAUAUUGUAUCCGUACACGUUGAGAGCUUAAGAUUACAUCCAAUUUAACUCGAUCUAAAUGCAACUUCCUUGAUUCCAAUAAUCUCCCAAGAUAUGACGAAGCCGUGUUCCUCUUUAAUUCAGAAACAUGAGAACUCCUAGUCUCGACACUGAAAUUCAAUUACCUUUCAAUUAACCCCCAAAGUUUCUGACUUGAUCAGCAAGAAUGUCUGGCUAUGUGUUUUAAGCAGAGCCCAAUAUGCAGAUCUGAUUGCGACAGUAAGCAAACAACCACCAGCACCACCACGUUCAAGAAGAGAUCAUCAAUAAGGAUACGGAACGCGUUUUGGUGAUAAGACGUGAACUGUAAUCCCCAUUAAUCUAAAUCCAAGUAUCCUCAAUUAAACAAAAUAAAAAAAUUAAAAGGUUCAAUUUUUAAGGACCGACCCAGGUCAGUUUCUGUACAUU
rnacentral:misc_RNA from 1 species